GUGUCAGCAGCCGCGGUAAUACGGAGGAUGCGAGCGUUAUUCGGAUUCACUGGGUUUAAAGGGUGCGUAGGCGGAUCAGUAAGUCAGGGGUGAAAUCUUACGGCUUAACCGUAAAAUUGCCUUUGAUACUGCUGGUCUUGAGUGCAGUUGAGGUGGGUGGAAUGUGUAAUGUAGCGGUGAAAUGCUUAGAUAUUACACAGAACACCGAUUGCGAAGGCAGCUCACUAAACUGCAACUGACGCUGAGGCACGAAAGCGUGGGGAGCAAACAGGAUUAGAUACCCUGGUAGUCCACGCUGUAAACGAUGAUCACUCGCUGUUGGCGACAUACAGUGAGCGGCUAAGCGAAAGCAUUAAGUGAUCCACCUGGGGAGUACGUCGGCAACGAUGAAACUUAAAGGAAUUGACGGGG
rnacentral:rRNA from 1 species